AAGAGUCAAGGACAUUAUUCAGGAGACACUCUAGAGAUGAACUCCUCUCCAGGCUUAGUGACUGUGAUACUCUUAGUGCUUGGACAAACCCGUGAAGACUCAGUGACCCAGAUGGAUGGCCAAAUGACUCUUCCAGAAGGGGCUGCCUUGACCAUAAAUUGCACUUAUUCAGCCACUGGGUACCCCAUUACUUUCUGGUAUGUUCAAUAUCCUGGAGAAGGUCCACAGGUCCUUCUGAAAGCCAUGAAGGACAAUGAGAAGGGAACCAAUAAGGAGUUUGAAGCCACAUACCACAAAGAAUCAAAAUCCUUCCACUUGGAGAAAGCCUCAGUCCAAGAUUCAGAUUCGGCUGUGUACUACUGUGCUCUGAGUGACACAGUGAUGGGAACCGCAGGGGCAGCUGAGCGCAAACUCUUUGAGUGGCAACAAGGGGCCUGGAGGCUGAGUGUCUCUCCAUUUGAUCCACUCUGUGGCACAGUCUAUGGUGGUUUGUCCCUCAGUCUCUGGUUGAUACAAAACUCAUACAAAUUUCUAGAGAAUAAGAACAGGAAGUGAAUAUUCCCCAUACCCAACUCUUCAUUAGUGAUUUUGAAAAAAGAGUCUGACAUCAAUAGUUCCUCAUCCAGGGCCAAAGUAAUUUCAAGGUAAAGUCACAUAAACAAUGAGACUUGGGGCCAAUGUAAGAAGAAACAAGAAGCACUUGGAUGUGUGCUGUACCCCUGUGGAAGGGUUUAGAAACCUGAAGCAUUAAUUACACUUGAAUAAAUAGGGUGGAUGGUGCUGUGUGUGUUUGUGUGUUUUGAGGGCAUUCAGGGAGUGAAGGCUGAAAAUAGGAAGACUGAAAAUAAAUAAGCAGCAGACUACCCAUGUUCUCUACCAGUGCCUGUGUAACAAGCAGUGAUCAUUUCCCAAACCCAGCAGAAAAUUGGAAGUUAGCCAUUGAUGAAUUGAGCAAUAGCACAUAUAAGUACGUAAGCCAAAAUAAUUAAAAAUUUAAAAUGUAAUAAUUAACUAUUCACUUCAAGGAAAAAAUUAUUAUUCAAGAAAGUAGCAUACUCAUAGUCUAUAUGAUUCAACUAAAUUUUCUUCUAGAUAAGUUUUACCACCAAUAGUCAUGAUUAGGCAGAAUAUCUAUUUUCCCCAAACCUUGUGUAUUACUAAGGUUCUGGACUGUUGCUUAUCAGUUAGGCUUUUUUAAAAAAAAUUAAUAAUUUAAAAUUUAUGAAUGAGAUGGAGCUUCAUUUCAUUUAAAAGUCAUUUAUAUGUUUUUGUAUAAAUUGUCUAUUCAUAUAUCUUCCCAUCUCCUACUGUGUUAUAGUCAUUUAAAUAUAGAUUUUAAAGAACAUUCUCUAUGUUAAGAAACUUGUCAUAAGACUGUCACAUAUAUGUGUCUUUUAAAAAAGUUUAAUUAACCUUUUUGACUUU